AACUGGGAUUAGAUACCCCACUAUGCUUAGCCGUAAACAUUGACAGUCUAUAACAUUUUCUGUCCGCCUGGGGACUACGAGCAUUAGCUUAAAACCCAAAGGACUUGGCGGUGCUUUAGACCCACCUAGAGGAGCCUGUUCUA
rnacentral:rRNA from 1 species